rnacentral:rRNA from 1 species
CCUACGGGUGGCAGCAGUGGGGAAUAUUGGACAAUGGGCGAAAGCCUGAUCCAGCCAUGCCGCGUGUGUGAAGAAGGCCUUCGGGUUGUAAAGCACUUUCAGUGGGGAAGAAAGCCUUGGGGCUAAUACCCUCGAGGAAGGACAUCACCCACAGAAGAAGCACCGGCUAACUCCGUGCCAGCAGCCGCGGUAAUACGGAGGGUGCGAGCGUUAAUCGGAAUUACUGGGCGUAAAGCGCGCGUAGGCGGUCUGAUAAGCCGGUUGUGAAAGCCCCGGGCUCAACCUGGGAACGGCAUCCGGAACUGUCAGGCUAGAGUGCAGGAGAGGAAGGUAGAAUUCCCGGUGUAGCGGUGAAAUGCGUAGAGAUCGGGAGGAAUACCAGUGGCGAAGGCGGCCUUCUGGACUGACACUGACGCUGAGGUGCGAAAGCGUGGGUAGCAAACAGGAUUAGAUAACCUGGUAGUC